UCUCUCUCUCUCUCUCUCUCUCUCUCUCUCUCUCCAGUCCGGCCGACUAUUGUCUGACUACGCGCGCGGUACUAUCUACUUGCAUGCUUUCUCAAUCCCUCGGACUACCUCGACACUUACACGUCCGAACAUUGUCGGUUCUUUUCUACUGGAUCUCACGUUCGAGGAAGCCCGAGAGGAAGUAGAGGCGGCCCAUGAGAAAAUACGCGAGGACUACAAAUUAUAUAUAUAUAUAUAUAUACACAUAUAACACACGCAUAUAUAUAUAUAUAUAUAUAUAUAUAUAUAUAUAGUUAAAGCUGCUGUGCGAUAGUCGAUCGAGUGAAAUAGCUCGAUCAUGUUCCUACGGGAGCGGUGCUCGUCGUCCACGUUAUAUAUAUUUUUAUUCGGUUUUAAUCGGUGAUAUGGAUAUGUUUAUUAUUUACGCGAUGAAUACGAUUCAACGGAUGAUGUGUUAACGAUCAUAGAGACAUAACGUCGUUACGAUGUCGUCCCUUUUACUCUGAUAUAUCUAUCGAAGAAACGGAAUAAAGGAAGGAAAGGAAGUAAGGAAUAAGGGAUAAUAAAACGAGACUCGAUCGUCAUGUCCGUCGAACGCUCCACCACGUUUCUUCUUCUGCUUUUGCGCGAUCACGGACGGUGAUACGAGGAACUGGAUAUAUAUACAUAUAUAUGACUAACAGGCAUGCAGCGAGCAUGCCAUGCUCGCUUAACGGAGAGGUAUACGUGUUGCACUCCAGGCGCAACAUGCACCUUUCCGUGCAUCUACCACGUCGUCAACGAGAAGAAGAACAAAAUCAACAACUACAACAACAACUACUACUACAACUACAACAACAACUACAACAACAACAACAAAAUCAAGAACAAGAACAGGAACGACAAAGGUUACAGUAACGGAGUCGACAACGAAAAGAAAACGAGUUGGAUUCACGGAUUGAUUGGAAU